UGGGGAAUAUUGGACAAUGGACCAAGAGUCUGAUCCAGCAAUUCUGUGUGCACGAUGAAGUUUUUCGGAAUGUAAAGUGCUUUCAGUUGGGAAGAAAAAAUGACGGUACCAACAGAAGAAGUGACGGCUAAAUACGUGCCAGCAGCCGCGGUAAUACGUAUGUCACGAGCGUUAUCCGGAUUUAUUGGGCGUAAAGCGCGUCUAGGUGGUUAUGUAAGUCUGAUGUGAAAAUGCAGGGCUCAACUCUGUAUUGCGUUGGAAACUGUAUAACUAGAGUACUGGAGAGGUAAGCGGAACUACAAGUGUAGAGGUGAAAUUCGUAGAUAUUUGUAGGAAUGCCGAUGGGGAAGCCAGCUUACUGGACAGAUACUGACGCUGAAGCGCGAAAGCGUGGGUAGCAAACAGGAUUAGAUACCCUGGUAGUCCACGCCGUAAACGAUGAUUACUAGGUGUUGGGGGUCGAACCUCAGCGCCCAAGCAAACGCGAUAAGUAAUCCGCCUGGGGAGUACGUACGCAAGUAU
rnacentral:rRNA from 1 species